rnacentral:sRNA from 1 species
GCUGGGCAUGGUGGCGCAUGCCUGUAAUCCCAGCUACUCAGGAGGCCGAGACAGGAGAAUUGCCUGAGCCCAGGAGGCGGAGGUUGCGGUGAGCCGAGAUCGCGCCAUUGCACUCCAACGUGGGUAACAAGAGCAAAACCCCGUCUCAAAAAAGAGAGUUUGAGGCUGCAAUGAGCUAUGAUUAUACCAUUGCACUCCAGCCUGGGCAACACAGCAAGACCCAGUCUC